CUCCACCAGCUCGUCCGAGCGGUUCUUUCCCCCGCCCCCUCCAGCAGCUCACAGAUGCGGCGGCGCGGCCCCGCGAUUCCCCUGCGGCGCCGGCCCCCGUGUUUCCCUCCGUCCUGCGUCGCCGGCCGCGCGAUUUCUAGGCGCCCAUGUCGUCCGGCGAGCUUGCAGCGACUGCUCCCGCCGGCCCGCGCGAGCCCCUGCCCGGCGAGCUGCAGCGUCUGCUCCCGACGCCGUUCGUCCCGUUGCUGAUCCGGGGACUGGCACCGCCCACCGCCCGCUGCUGACCAGCCCCUGUGUGUUCCCGCAUUCAAGGCGACGAUCUCCCGUUCCCAACGCCGGUCCGAUCCAUCCUCACGUCUCCGGCGAUCCUCCUCCGUCCUGGCUUUCUAUCAGCUCAGAUCCUUUCGUCUUCUUGUUAGAUCAGACUGUGGAGCAGCUCAACGGAGCGAUCCAGGUUUUUGGAUGAAUGCUGCUGAUUCCCUGCAAGGCACAAGGAUUAUAUUGGUUCUCAACCGAGCCGGGGAGCAUCUUCUAAUGUGCCUCCUGUCCAGGCAGGUGAUGCCACUGCAGGUUCCAUGACCAUGGAGAUGAGGCUGCAGAACAGCGGGUGUACAAUGGGGCGUACAUGGACGAGCUCUGCAAAAAAAAGGGAUACGGAUGACCGGAUCGAUCCUGCUGCGACAACCAUUUUGACUCUGCUGGAGGCGACAGCUAGACGGCAAACAACGUCUCGUGAAUCCAACCUCUGCUGGUGCUAACCUGACCGUCAGUGGAACACCCUCUAUACAGGUCUUGAGCUCCAGCACCAUCUUCUUGCAAAACUUCCAUGACCAUAGGUUAGGUUCCUGCCUGCAGCCCUGCACCUUUGAAUAUCAUCAGUCUAUUCUUCAGCUCCAACAUUUUCUUAUGGCUUUUCAAUGAGAUGGGUCCUGCAAACUGCUUUAUCCCUUGGUAUUAUUAUACCAGGGUCUUUGGAAGGUAAGCUAUUUACAUUUACAUAUGUUGUUAUUUGCUGCUAGCAAAUUAUGUACCACAAAUCCACAAUACUAUACUUAGUGUGUAGACUGCAGAAUUGGUGAGUAGACUAGUAUGGUCGCCAAUAACUGAGUUUUGUAUGGUACACUUGCAUCAUUUUAGAAGAUAGUAUCUUUUUUGCAUGUGCAUAUAUGUCAUUAUUUGUGACAAGAAACCUAUCUCUGCUACAUCCCAUCUAAUUGAAGUUUUUCUAGUCUCACAUCAAAGUAUUGCGAUCAGUUUGGUUAGCUUCAGACAAUUGUGGCUUUUAUAGUUCAUUAGGUUUCAUCCGUCCAGGCAUGAUAGAUUUUGCUAUCAGGCUAGUGUGGUUGCAAAUAACUUAUGUUCUUAUGGGUCACUCUCUUCAUUUUUAUGGGUCACUCCCGACACAGCUCCCCUCCUCCCGGCGGUGCUCCCCUCCUGCGAUGCCGCUGCCUCAUCCCUGCGCUGCUCCCUCAUCCCGACGGCCCUCCAUCCUCUCGACACUGCUCCCCUCCUGUGACGCCCCCCCCCCCUCCCCCCACCCAUCCCUGCGCCGCCGCUCCUCCCGUCGCCGAUCUAGGCACUGGUGCCACCGGCUGCAAGCUGCUGGCCUUGGUCAUAUCAAGAUGGAAACACCUCCCCAUUCACUGAGGCCAAUCAAUAGGUGUCACCCAGCUUGGGAUUAUGUCGCUUCCGCUCCUCCCGUCGCCGGUGCUCCUCCGGCGCUCCGCGAUGUCGCUCUGUCCUCCCGUCGCCCCUAGGAGAGUACUGCCAAUGGCGCCGGAUCCUGCAACCAAAUCCUCCUUCGGCGUGCCAUCUGCUCAGGAGCUUCCUCAACACACCCUCCAUCUCUGUUUGCUCCCAUGCGCCCCUAGAUUUGCUCUUAUGCAAUGUGUAUAGGCUGUCUUUAACCUGCAUAUACUAAUAAUUCUUAGCUCUUAUGCAGAUUGCAAUAUGCAUGCUGGAUACCUGCACAUGAGAUGGUUGAUUGGCUAGAUAGUUUCUGAUUUCCUUUUUGUUUAUUGUUCUACCAUAUUGUAAAAACAGGGUCAAUAAAAUAGCAGAAUGCAUUGAGUUUUUAUGAACUCUUAUGGUGUGCUCGGUUUAAAUAUGGUGAAUGUAAAUGCAAAGUGUUCUCAGUUUUGUGAUAAGAGAACUUACUGCUACUUUGCAUAGAAUUGAAGUUUUUAUGAUUGCA